UCGUUGUUGUGCAGGCUUUUCUCUAGUUGCGGCUCACCGAUUGCUUAUGGCAGUGGCUUCUAUUUUUGCGGCGCACAGGUGUUAGAGUGCAAGGGCUUCAGCAGUUGCGGUUCCCCGGCUCCAGGGCGCAGGCUCAGUAGUUGUGGCCCACGGGCUUAGCUGCUGCGUGGCAUGUGGGAUCUUCCCGGACCAGGGAUCGAAACUGUCUCCUGAAUUGGCAGGCAGACUCCUCAUCACUGAGCCACCAGGGAAGCCCGAUUUCUUUGUUUUUUUCUGCAUUCACUUGCGAUGCUCCUCCAUGGUCUCUGCUGCCUGCACUGCUGGCCAUCUGUUACAGUGGCAUCGUGCCAGCUUACAGGAUAGCUCGCCGGCUUCACAGA
ensembl:lncRNA